CAUGUUUUCAGAGUCAGCGCAUUGAUUAUGCUGUCACUAGCCAGAACCCUGAGACGGGAAGAGAUCUAUUGGAUCACCUGUGUCCAGAACUGGAGCAGCCCCAUGCCUCCCCAGAGAGAGCGUGACAAGGCCAUCUUAGGCACACGAGCAAGGGAGAAAUUCGAGCCCUGCAAGAUUUUACUCUGCUAGAGUUGUCAACUUCUGCAGGUUUCUGAACUUACUCUGAGAGAGACGCUGCUGCAUCUAGGGUAAAGAAACACACAAAGAGACAGAGAGAGAUCUUCCAUCUACUGGUUCCCUCCCCAAAUGCCUGCAAGAGAUGGGACGGGGCUGGGCCAACACCAGGAGCCUGGAACUCCAUCUGGGUCUCCCAGUCACAGUGCUUGCAUUUCCUAAUGAGCUGCAUCUGAUCUCCGGGCAUUUCUUGGGGCUGUUUAUGAGAACGGAACAGCCAAGGCGACUUGGUGGUGUCAUUUAGGACGGUGAGCAUCUGUAGAAAGCUUACUUUUGAGAAUGUCUCUCGGUCCCUUCCUUCACCCACGUUGCUCUGUGACCGAGUGAGGCUGCUGAGGAUAACCGAGACCUGAAUUCUUCACAGAAAAGACAUCAGCACUGCACGCAGCAGAACAAAGAUCUGGUAAGUCAGGCCCAGACUUUCCCUUCCAACUGAGGAAACAAUUGAUAAACUCCUUGACUCGUGAUAAACACCUGAUACAUGCAAAAGUGCCUACUACAUAGAACGGUAGAAGUAAAAUUUUCUUCUCCACCUGCCCAGCAACAAGUCCCACUGCUCAGAAGCAAGCACUAUUAAUAGUCCCUCAUGUGUUCUCUUAGAAAUUUUCAGAGAAGAGAAUAGAGGAAAAAUUAUUUUUUUUCUGUGCCCCAAUUUCCUUUUUUUUUUUCCCCAGAGCUCACAGUACUACAUAUCACCAUUGAAUCUUUACCAGGCCAGUCCCAUAAAUAUCUCAAGCUAUUCCACAUAAGCUAGACAAUUUGAAAAAGUAAGAGAUGGUGAUUACUGUUAGCAACAGACUAAAUAAUGCCUCCCCCAGCCUGCAAAGAUUUCUCUUUAUGUCUGUAGGCUUUUCAUCCAAGUUCUCAAGUUCAUUUUGAAUUUUGCACUGGUGUUUCUGUAGUCAAAAAGGGGACUGCUUUUAUUAAAAUUAAGUAGGGGCUUAAAACCCCAUUGAUCCUGCAAAUUCCUGGGGACUGCAUGAUGAGGGUGCCCAUUGGCCUGCCACAGAACUGAAUGUGCUGCUCUUACAUUCUCAAGUAUUGUGUUGCUUCAAGGUACUGUACCCUCACUGCUCUUCUUAAAUCCUGAAAUGGGACUGUGUCACUCACUCCCCUGGCCUGUCUUCCCGCCCAGCUUCCUACUCUCCCUGGACAUGCAGAAGAGUGUCUCUUUCCUUUCCUUGACUUCAGGUCAACCCAGAAUAGGAAACCCCAGGUAACCACCUCAUUAAUAGAAGCAAAACUGAGUGAAUUUGGGAGGGAGGUCAGGAAGAGCUUCGUGAUUCACCACGUCUCCACCUCCCCAGCCCCAGCUUGUUCGGGCAACCACCCCUUCUCCAGACAACGCUCAGCCCCUCAGGAGCAGGGCAUCCCUCGGAUGAGAACGAAGCUUGCUUGAUCUAUGGGGGAGUCCAUCCCUGCUGCGAGCACCUGGGCCAGCAAUGGGCCUGUGAGCCCCGGGAAUCCCGGGGGCAUCUACUCAUGCUAAGGAGAAAACAGAAUAAACAGAGGGUCUUUUGUGGGGUGGGCUUUUGGUACAGUGGUUAGGAAGCCACUUGGUAUGCCUGUAUCUCAUAUCAGACUGCCUAGGUUCAAGUCCAGGCUCUGCUUCUGGUUCCAGCUUCCUGUUAAUGCAGACCCUAGAGGGAGGCAACAGGUGAUGACGACUCCAGUAGUGGGGCCCUGCCACCAACAUGGAAGACCCAAAUAACUUCAGCCUUACCCUGCCCUAGCUGUUGUGGGGAUUUAGAAAGUGAAUUGGCCAAUGGAAGAGUGAGCUCGCUCGCUCUCUCUCUCUCUCUCUCUGCCUUUCAAAUAAACACAUAUAAAUAAAUAAAAAUUCUAAAAAGAGAGAGAGGGUCCAGCAAGGUUAUGAGGCCCAGAACUUGAUGAUGUUCACCAGCAGGUGAAGCCAGCCUCCAGGGGAAUGCCAAGCCAGUGCAGUGGCCUCUGGGCUCGGUCAACCCUGACUGUAACCUAUCAGCUCCCUGGUCUGUGAACCAGGCCAGUCUCUCAUUUAGAAACCAGUUAAGUUCAAUAUCUGUUACUCAACACCACAAGCAUUCUAAAUGAUUGAAAGAUAAGCAAGCUUCAAAGGGACAAAACCAAUCUCCUCUCCACAAACCACAUUUUGUCCCCUUGGGCAAAGAAACUGCCUUGUGAAAAGGCACGCUGUGGGUGCUUUUCAAUAUCCUUAUGGCUCCUUGCAUUUCUAUAACAUACCAUGUAAUUGUUUGGCUUGCAUUUUUUUUCUGUAUGGAAUGAAGACUCAAAUUGUGUGUUUUUUUUCUUUUCUUUCUAAUUUAGAGCCCUCAGACAUAGCUAAGUAUACAAUAAUAACAGCAUCAUAAGAAUAACAGUUGCAUGCAAAGCCCUGGACUAUACAGGAGAGUGAGGGAAAGAAAUGUAAAGAAAAAUGAGCAAGGCAUAGCUGUACAUAAAACACUCUCAUUCUGAUUGUACCUCCCUAGAAACUCAAAGAAAGAGCAAUUAAUGUUUUUACUUGACAGUAGCCUUGAGUGGAGGAAACAUUUGACCUGAGUCUUGAGGCUUUUUAGGAAAUUAUUUUUAAGAUUUAUUUUAUUUAUUUUAAAGGCAGAGUGAUGGGGGGUGCACAGAGAGAAAGAUAGAUUGAUCUUCCAUCCUCCUGUUCACUCCCCAAACAUUCACAACAGCUGAGCUGGGUUAGACUGAAGCCAGAAGCUUAGAAUUCCAUCAAGAUCUCCCAUGUGGAUACAAGGGCCCAAGCACUUGGGCCAUAUUCUGGUUAGCAGGGAGCUGGGUCAGAAGUGGAAUAGCCAGGACUCAAACUGGCACUUUGAUGUGGGAUGAUUGCAUCACCAGAGGUGCCUUAACUGGCUGCAUCACAACACCAGCCCUUUUUAAGAAAAAAUAUAAUUAAAGAAUAAGUUUAUUUUGAUGCAAAAAAAUUUAAAGCCAUGCAUUUUCCAUGAACUUUUAGAAGAUCUCAUAUACUUAUUAGUAUUUUGCCAUUUUUAUUGAUUAAUUUUAUAAUAAAACUUUUUUUGUGUGACAGUUGUAGAAUCACAGGUAGUUAUUAAAUAUUAAAAGUUAACCGAGACACAUUAAAAUCCGAGUUUAUUUGAGCAUCCUGUGAUUCAUGAACCAGGCAGUGCCAAACCGCAAGUCAUUUGGGCUCCCUCAAGGGUGCAAAGGGAAAACCUGUAUAAGAAAUUUAAGGAAGCAAGACCACAGAAUAUUUGAUUGGUUAAAGUGUAACAGUAGCUUUAAAAGUCCCUAGUUAGGGGUUAGCUGGCAGUUUCUGAUGGUUAGGCUUGAGUUCACUUCUUAGGAUACACCCAUCUACUCUGAAUUUGAUUGGGGUUUACUUAUAGGAACACAAGGCCCUGUGACUGUCUCUGUCUAUUGGCCUCCCAACUUAGCAUAAGAAAUAACGUGAGAGCUCCCCUGUAACUUUUCUCCAGUCUCCCUGAGGGUGACGUCUUGCAGAACUGGAGUACGGUGUUACAUGGAAGAUAUGUUGACACAGUCAAGAACAGCACCUCGACCACCACAAGGAUCCUCGUGUUGUCCUGUAAUAGCCACACCAUCGUCUCUGCCACCAUGACCCUUUCUUUAGACACUCUGGAGACCACUAAUCUCUUCUGCCAUUCUAUUCCUUUGUCAUUUCCUAAAUGUUAUUAUAAAUGGAAUCAUAUGAUAUGUAGCCUUUGGGAUUUGCCUUUCCCUCAGUAUAACCUUUUGGAGAUUCAUCCAAGCUUUGUGUGUGUUACCAUUUCAUUCCUUUUUAUUGCUGAGUGGUAUACCACAGCACGGAUGCACAACAGUUUCUUUAACCAUUCACCCACUGAAGGGUAGCUGAGUGAUUUCCAGUUUGGGGCUAUAAAUUUGUUCCUAUAAAUAUUCAUGUGUAAGUUUUUGGGUAAACAUAAACAUUCAUUUCUUUGGAAUAAAUACCCAAGAAUGCACUUGCUAGAUUGUUAGUUACAUCUUUAAUUUUUAGAGAUUUAUUUAUUUAUUUGAAAGGCAGAGCAAAAGAGACAGGGAGAGACAGGGAGAGGCUAGCUUCCAUCCACUGGUUCACUCCCCAAAUGAGCACCACAGCUAGGACCCGACCAGGCUGAUACUAGGAGCCAGGAACUACCUCCUGGUCUCCUACAUGGAUGGCAGGGGUCCAAGGACUUGGGCCAUCUUUCUGCCUUCCCAGGUGCAUUAGCAGGAAGCUGAAUUGGAAGUGGAGCAGCCAACACACAAACCAGCACUCUGAUAUGGAUGCAGGCUUUGCAAGCAGUGGCUUAACUGGUUAUGUUACAAUGCUGGCCCCAUGUUUAAUUUUUUAAACAAAUUGUCAAACAGUUUUCCAGAGGCCUGUAUCAUAUUACAUUUCUGCCAGUGCUUGAGGAGUGAUCAAGUUUCACUGCUUGUGUACCGGCAUCUCGAGUUAUCAAUAUUUUUAGGUUAGCCAUUCUGAUAGGGGUUUAGUGAUAUCUCAUUGUGCUGGCAUUUCACCAUAGCUAAUGCUGAUGAACGUCUUUUCAUGAGCUUAUUUCCCAUCAAUGUAUCUUCUUUUGUAAAAUGUCUGCAUAUAUCUUUUGUCUGUUCUCUUGCUGGAUUUUUUUUUUAAAGCCUGAUCUCCUUUAUUCAUCACAAAGCUUUUGCAUAGACCUUUAAAAUAUACAAAACACUGGCCAGAACUCUGCUUACAGACGACCAUCAUCCAUGAUCACCACGUCUUGCUGGAUUUUUGUUUUGUUUUGUUUUAUGGCAGAGUUUUGAAGGCCUCUGAAUAUUCUAUAUACCAGUCCUUUGUGAAGAAUGUGAUUUGCAGACAUUUUCUCCCCUUCUGUAGCCUGUCUUUCCAUGCUCUUCUCAGGGUCCUUUGCAGAGAGAAAAUUUUGAGUGUUAGAAAAUCUAAGUUACCAGUCUUUCCUUUGAGGGAUUGUGCUUUUGGUGUUUAAGAAUUUUUUGCCUGACCUUAGAUCCUGAAGACUUUGUCCUAUGUUUUAUUCAGAGAGUUUUCUAGCUUCAUGUUUUACAUGUAUGCCCAUGAUCCACUUGAGGGAAUUUUUUUAUUUUUAAAGUUUUUAUUGUAUUUAUUUGAAAGGCAGAGCUAGACAGAGAGUGAGAGAGGCAGAUAUUUUCCAUCCACUGGUUCAUCUCUAAAUACCUGCUACUGUCGGUGCUGGUCCAGGCCAAAGCUAGGAGCCUAGAACUCAUUCCAGAUCUCCCACAUGGGUGGCAGGGUCUGAACUGCUUGAGAUAUUACCCGCUAUCUCCCAGGGUGCAGAUUAGCAGGAGUUUGCUAGCUGGAAAGGAGAGCAGAGCUAGGCCCCAAACCAAGGACUCCAACAUGGGAUGCAGAUGUCUCAAGUAACGCCUUAACCUGCUGUGCCAAUUGCCUACUUCCAUUCUUUCCUUCCAUCAUUAUGCUUGAAGUAAGAUUCCUUAUAAGAGCAUGUAGUGGGUCAUUUUCCUUUUGUCUUUUAAAUGAAGUUUAUUUAUUUAUUUGAAAGAGAGAAAGAGAGGGAAGGAGGACGGCAGGGAGAGAGAGAAAGAAAGAAAGAGAAUCAUUCUUCUACCUAAAUACCCACAACAGCCAGGACUGGACCAGUCUGAACCAGGGACUGCAUCUGGGCCUCCCACCUGGAUGGCGGGAACUCAAGUAUUUGGGCCAUCAUCUGCUACCUUUUGGGUGCCACUGCAGAAAAUGAUUGGAAACAAAGGUGAGUCUGAAUCCCAGGCACUGUGAACAUGUGAUGCAGACAUCCCAAGUGGCAGCUGAACCUGCUGCGCCAUAAUGCCUGCUCAUGGAUCGUGUUUCUUAAUAUAAUCUGCUAAUCUCUGUCUUUUAAGUGGUGCGUUUAGACCAUCUGUUAGUGGGUUAGAGCUUAUGUCUGGCAUUAUGUUGUACUUCCUUUUUUGUUUCUGUUUUCUUUUUUUUCUGUCUUCCUGUGGGCUCCUUGGACAUUUUUUAGAGUUCCAUUUUGAUUCAUUUAUAUUCUUUUAUGUGUAUCUGUGUAUAGAUUUUUCAGUCAUUUCCGUAGUUUUAUAAGGUUAUUCUAAUUAAACCACAAUGAAAUCCAACUAUGUACUGGUUAAAAUGGCUAACAAUAGAACAAAACCUUGGCAGUGCCAUGUACAGGUAAGAAUGUAGAGCAACUGGAAUUCUUAUACAGUCACUAUGGAGAAUUGCCUCAUGGGCUCUUAUAAAGUUAUAUAACACUUACCAGAUAACCUAGUAAUCCCAUUACUACACUUAUAGCCAAGUGGAAUGAAAACCUGUGUUCACCUAAAAACACAUGCAAAUGUUUACAACAGCAUUAUUGAUAAUUAGCAAAAAUGGAACACAACCUAAAGUCUCUCAAAGAACCAUGGUCCAUUGGCACAAUUUAAUAUUACUUACAAAUUGCAAAGAGUUAUUGAUACAUGUAACAACUUGGGUGUAUCUUGAGGGCAUUAUGUUGAAUGGAAAUAGCCAGUUUGACAAGGUUUCACUCUAUUUGAUUCUAUUAAAUGGUAUUCUAAAUAAAGAGUAGUAAAUUACAGGUCAGUAGUUCUCAGAGAACAGGGACGGAUGAAGAGAAGUUUGAUCAUAAAGAGGUAGCACAAAGGAAUUUGUGACUGUGAUAAAACUCAUCUGUGUUUUGAUUAUGUUGGUAAUUACAUGAUUAUACUUCUAAAAAGUCAGAAUUGUGCAUCAAAAACAGUGAAUUUCACUGUAUGUAACUAAACAUUAGAGAAUAAUAUGUGUCAUAUUCUUUCAAACAUAUCUUAUUCAUUCAACAUUUUUGUUCCUAAGUCUAUAUGUCUUGAAAAAAAUUAACAGAAGACAUAUUCCAAGUGGAGCAACUAUUAGGAACAAGGAUCUGCAAUUAAGAUAACUCUGGGUCAUCUAUACACUCAGUUCUAAAAUGAAAAUAGUCAUUAAAAGGAACGGGUGCCACUUGGUUCUCUGAGUAAUAUCACUUUGAGAUGAAGGUUGACAGAGGUCAUCUGUCACCAGCCAUUGACUCUGCUCUUUAAGGCUGUUACUCCCCAAAAUGAGUUCUUUCAGGGACCUCAGCUAUGUCAACAUUUAGUAAAGAACGUGGGGAAGACCAGACUUCACAUUCUAAAUUUUUUUUUUGCCAGUCCUGUAAGAAUCAAGUUUAUUUAUAAAUACUGCAUUGGAAAAAGAACCAGAUAAGUUCUAGUUCUGUUCUUUCAAAUAAGUAGUAGAUGGCAUUCAAAGUUCGUUAACCUACUCAGUUGCUUUCAACUUUUUGUGAGAAGUUGUAUUGUCUUGCAUUAUUUUAAGUCUCUCCAUCUAUAAAAGAUAUGAUAUUACUCCAACCUCUAAAGCAAUAAAUUAUCCAUUUAACUGCCUGACAUAUCUCAGGAACUUAUCUAGGUGCCCUAGAUACAAAUAAUAAGAAAGAGCACUCAGGUUAGUGGGAACAACAGCAGAGAUGUAUAAAAUAGUAUGGUCAGUGUGAGGGGGUGGGGGGGGGGACCAACAGAGAAUGGUUUAUGGCCAGUGUGGGAUCCAAGCAUCUUGGAUGCUUACUUGGUGUCCCCACCCUUUAAACCAACUAUUGUGUGUCUGUUCUCUACAUCAGAUCUUAUUUGCAAUAGAAAACAGGAGGCCUGGAGUGAGUACUUGGCAUAGCUGUUAAGACACCAAUUAUUACUCCCUCAUCCCAUAUGAUGGUGCCUAGGUUCAAGUCACAGCUCUGCUCCUGGUUCCAGCUUCCUGCUAAUGCAUACCCUGAGAGGCAGCAGGUGGUGGCUCGAGCACUUUGUCCCUGCCACCCACAUGAGAGACCUGGAUUGACUCUUUUAUUAUUAUUAUUAUUAUUGACAGGAAGAGUUAGACAGUGAGAGAGAGAGACAGAGAGAAAAGUCUUCCUUCCGUUGGUUCACCCCCCAAAUGGCCACUACGGCCAGCGCGCUGCGCCAAUCCGAAGCCAGGAGCCAGGUCGUGGGUUCAGGGCCCAAGCACCUGGACCAUCCUCCACUGCCUUCCCAGGCCACAGCAGAGAGCUGGCCUGGAAGAGGGGCAACCAGGACAGAAUCCGGCGCCCCGACCGGGACUAGAACCCGGGGUGCCGGUGCCGCAGGCGGAGGAUUAGUCAAGUGAGCCGCGGCGCUGGCCCUGGAUUGACUCUUGACUUCAGCCUGGUCCAGUCCGCACUCUGACAGGUAUUUAGGGAGUGACCCAGAGAAUGGAAGAGAUCUCUCUGUAACAGUCUGUCCCUGUUUCUCUAUCUUCCAAAAUAAAUAAAUAAUCUUAAAAAAACAAACAAACAAACAAAAAAAAACAAGAAUCCUUUCCUCUGCUUCCCCCAGCCUGUCGGUGCACGUAAAUGAGCAGGAAGCUACAGGCUCUGAUUUGUGCUUAAUGCUGGGAUGUGUAUCCUCUCAAGCCUUCAUUUCUUAUUUAGCAAAACAUAAAGUGAAGGCAUCUGAAACUGGAGGGCCUCCUGUUUCAGUAAAUGUAAAGACGUAAAAGCUUUCCCAGUGAUGAGUAAGCAUUUAGAAUCUGGC